AAGGUUCUUGUAGUUGAAUA
rnacentral:tRNA from 1 species